UACGAAGGGGGCUAGCGUUGUUCGGAAUUACUGGGCGUAAAGCGCGCGUAGGCGGACAUUUAAGUCAGAGGUGAAAGCCCGGGGCUCAACCCCGGAACUGCCUUUGAGACUGGAUUGCUAGAAUCACGGAGAGGUGAGUGGAAUUCCGAGUGUAGAGGUGAAAUUCGUAGAUAUUCGGAAGAACACCGGUGGCGAAGGCGGCUCACUGGCUCAUUACUGAGCUCAGGCGCGACAGCGUGGGGAUCAAACAGG
rnacentral:rRNA from 1 species